ensembl:lncRNA
GCAUGGGGGUUCUUCCUUCUCACACCCACGCUGCUUUUUACCGUUCGUGUGCAUGCUGGUUCUUCCCCGUAGCGCUCCAAUGCUGUGUUCCAGCACCAAAGGUAUUGUCUAAAAUUUUUUGGAGUGCCGGUUUGGUAUUCAUGAAGUUCCUGAGGAAGUACCCACUACUUCUUAUGACACAGGUAUCCCACCAGCCUUACCCUGGAAGGUGCUUAGGAGAACGGUCCGAACACCGUGUUUCAACUACACCUGAUUUUCUACAAUGAGCUUGCAUUACUUCCACAACAGCAGAAUAGGAGGGGGCAGUGGUAAGGAAUCACCAUUCAGUGAUGAACGUAACUUUGGUAUAUUAACUUUAAUGGUUUUAAUGCUAUGAUAUGUAUACUUGUUUAUUAUUUUAAAACUUGAUGUUAUAAUAAUUUUCUAUUGUACUACAAAUCUUUCAUAAAUCUGUUUAUUGCUACACCCUAUACAGUGACCACAGAUUGAGAGCUCACUUGGACCAGGAAAUGUAUUAUUUUAUGUGCAUCUUGACUUAAUCUUCAUAUGACAGGGCUUCUACCAUGAGGUGGAUACAAUCAGUACCAUAUUAUACCCAUCAGUAAAGUGAUGGUUUGAGAAAUUUACUGGAUAUUAUCAUGACUUAAUUACUCCUCUAGUGUGUCCAGUUAAUUUAAUGCCCAGUUUCAUUAUUAUCAAUAACACACAGAAGGGCUGGGGAUUUAGCUCAGUGGUGCUGGGCCUGUCUCAGAAGCGCAAGGUCCUGAGUUCAAUUUCUGGUACCAGGAAAAAAAAACCUAAAAAUAACACACAGAAAACAUCUCUUUGUAGAAAACUUUGUCUGGAUUCAGGAAACAUUUCUAGAAGUGAACUUUUCCAGCCUAGAAUUUUUUUUUUUUUUUGGUACUGGGGCUCAAACUUGGGACCUUGCAACCUGCAAGGCAGACAGCAGAACCACUGAGCUAAAUCUCCAACCAAAAAUUUUUAAAGAUUCGUUAUGAAUAAUCAGUGACAAAGAUGAAAAAUAUUUCAGGAAAAUCUGACCUCUGGCUGGAUAUUAUAUGACAUCAGGGGAUUAUUGUUAAUUUCUCUAAGCAUGUUAAAGGUAUUGUGGUUAUGUGUUUUUUGUUGUUGUUGUUGUUGUUGGGGUUUUUUGGUACCAGAGAUUGAACUCAGACCCUUGCACUUGCAAGGCAGGCGCUGGAACCACUGAGCUAAAUCCCCAGCCCAUGGUUAUGUGUUUUUAAAGAGCCUUUACCUAGUGAAGUAUAUAUGAGUGAAGUAAUAUCUAGAAUUAAAAAAAAAAAAUCCAACUAAGAGAGGACUAGGAGACUGAUGAAAAAAAUUAGGCAUGUGUUACACAUUGAUAAUGCCAGGUUACACAUACACAGCUAUUGAUCUACUAAUCUCUCUAUCUGUGUAUAUAUUUGAAAGCUUCUAAGAUAAAAAUUUAAGAUAUAGCUAUAAAAAAUGAUCUUCACCUUGAGACCAUAAUGUUAAGUGAAAUAAGUUAGAUACACAAGCUCAAAUAUCACAUGGCUUCUCUUAUAUGAGAAACCCAAAGUACUGUGUAAAUCAUUUAAAGAGCAAAAUGAAAGACAGACCAUAGGAAACAGGGAGAUAGAUCUUUUGCAAAUGGGAAGGGGAACUAGAGAUUGGGGGAAGGAUAAAAAGAAUUGAGAUGCGUUAUGUACAUGUACCAGCUCCCCAUAAUGAAUGUGAUCAUUAUGUAAUCCAAACAUGAACUAAUAAAAAAUAAAAACAAGCAAGCAAACAAAUGAUCUUAUUGUCCACAGGGGAAGACAUCCCCUUGAUCCCUAUUUUGUUUAAAUAGUGAGAAAGCCAGCAGAAAAACCUGUCAAGAACACUAGCUUAAUUCCUCAACCCCAGCAAACAAGUUAAAUUCUCCCUGAAAGCAAAACAGAUCAAUUAAUUUUGUUUUGUUAAGACUUACUUUUUUUUUUGGUACCAGGGAUCGAACUCAGGUCCUUGCACUUGCGCAGCAGGUGACAAAACCACUGAGCUAAAUCCCCAGCCUGAGACUUACUUAUUUUUAAUAGGAUAAAGGAUCUAGAGAUCGGGUUCUUAUUCUUUUAAGCCUCUGAGAAUACUUUUCUAAAUGAUAAUCAAUAUAUUUAUGAUAAAUUUACAUACACACAUCCUAGCCAUAGUUUGAUACAGGUUUUGUUAAAUUUCUGGAAAUUUCCAGUGUUCCCUUGUAUAGUGGAGAAACUGACCUACUGUUUUAAAUUGAAAAAAGCGGAAUGUUUUGUGUUUAGAAGCAGGUGAGCAUUGGAGACUGUCCCUCGGGGAGGGUCACAAGCAUCAAAAGUCGCGAAAAGUUGUCUGGCACUUUUGCAUGUGCACAUACAUCCUGAUUUUACUCGGACCCCAUCCCUCUUUAUCCUCUGGGUCAGCACCUUCUUUCUUUUCACCCUCCCACACCCUCUCCCCAGACACACAGGCCCCACCUGGAUGGCUUGGCCAGCAUCAGUAGCCAGGCUCCGUAUCAUAUGAGAUUAGUGCAGCUGGUCCUCCGAAGCCUGAACCCGAAAGAGGAAGCGGG